rnacentral:tRNA from 1 species
GGCAGCGCAGCACAGUGGGUAAGGAGCUUGGCUUGCAACCGAAAGGUCACAGGUUCGAUUCCUGGACAAGGCACUGCCG